rnacentral:rRNA from 1 species
ACGUAGGGUGCGAGCGUUAAUCGGAAUUACUGGGCGUAAAGCGUGCGCAGGCGGAUUGUUAAGCAAGACGUGAAAUCCCCGGGCUUAACCUGGGAAUGGCGUUUGUGACUGCGAGACUUGAGUGCGGUAGAGGGGGGUGGAAUUCCACGUGUAGCAGUGAAAUGCGUAGAGAUGUGGAGGAACACCGAUGGCGAAGGCAGCCCCCUGGGUCGACACUGACGCUCAUGCACGAAAGCGUGGGGAGCAAACAG